AAUGAACGCUGGCGGCGCGCCUAACACAUGCAAGUCGAACGAGAAAUCUCGAGCUUGCUCGAGAGAGUAAAGUGGCGCACGGGUGAGUAACGCGUGGGUAACCUGCCCUUGAAUCUGGAAUAAUCCACCGAAAGGUGGCCUAAUACCGGAUAUAGUCCUGAGAACCACGGUUCUCUGGAUGAAAGCUGACCUCUUCUUGAAAGUUGGCGUUUAAGGAGGGGCCCGCGUACCAUUAGCUUGUUGGUAGGGUAAAGGCCUACCAAGGCUACGAUGGUUAGCUGGUCUGAGAAGAUGUCCAGCCACACUGGAACUGAAACACGGUCCAGACUCCUAUGGGAGGCAGCAGUGAGGAAUUUUGCGCAAUGGGGGAAACCCUGACGCAGCGACGCCGCGUGAGUGAAGAAGGCCUUCGGGUCGUAAAGCUCUGUCAAGUGGGAAUAAAGUUCCGCGAUUAAUAGCCGCGGGAUCUGAAGGUACCAUCAAAGGAAGCACCGGCUAACUCCGUG
rnacentral:rRNA from 1 species